CAAGUCGCACGAUACCCAGGGGCUUGCUCUUGGGAUAAGUGGCGCACGGGUGCGUAACACGUAGGUAAUGUACCGUUUGGUGUGGAAUAACCGGCCGAAAGGCUGGCUAAUACCGCAUAAGUUCCCUUGAGGUUAGCCAAUGGGGAAGAAAGCAGGGCAACUUGCGCCGAACGAUCAGCCUGCGUCCCAUCAGCUAGUUGGUGAGGUAACGGCUCACCAAGGCGACGACGGGUAGCUGGUCUGAGAGGAUGAUCAGCCACACUGGGACUGAGACACGGCCCAGACUCCUACGGGAGGCAGCAGUGGGGAAUAUUGGACAAUGGGCGAAAGCCUGAUCCAGCAAUGCCGCGUGAGUGAUGAAGGCCUUCGGGUUGUAAAGCUCUGUCGGGAGGGACGAACGAGUUCGGGUAACGCCGAGCUGUGACGGUACCUCCAAAGGAAGCACCGGCUAACUCUGUGCCAGCAGCCGCGGUAAUACAGAGGGUGCAAGCGUUGUUCGGAAUUACUGGGCGUAAAGCGCGUGUAGGCUGCGAAGUAAGUCGGAUGUGAAAUCCCUCAGCUCAACUGAGGAAGUGCAUCCGAUACUGCAUCGCUUGAGUGUCAGAGGGGAUGGCGGAAUUCCCGGUGUAGAGGUGAAAUUCGUAGAUAUCGGGAGGAACACCUGUGGCGAAGGCGGCCAUCUGGAUGACGACUGACGCUGAGACGCGAAAGCGUGGGUAGCAAACAGGAUUAGAUACCCUGGUAGUCCACGCUGUAAACGAUGAGUGCUAGACGUCGCGGGUAUUGACCCCUGCGGUGUCGAAGUUAACACGUUAAGCACUCCGCCUGGGGAGUACGGUCGCAAGAUUAAAACUCAAAGGAAUUGACGG
rnacentral:rRNA from 1 species